AACGAACGCUGGCGGCAUGCCUAACACAUGCAAGUCGAACGAGACCUUCGGGUCUAGUGGCGCACGGGUGCGUAACGCGUGGGAACCUGCCCUUAGGUUCGGAAUAACUCCCCGAAAGGGGUGCUAAUACCGGAUAAUGUCUUCGGACCAAAGAUUUAUCGCCUUUGGAUGGGCCCGCGUUGGAUUAGCUAGUUGGUAGGGUAAAAGCCUACCAAGGCGACGAUCCAUAGCUGGUCUGAGAGGAUGAUCAGCCACACUGGGACUGAGACACGGCCCAGACUCCUACGGGAGGCAGCAGUGGGGAAUAUUGGACAAUGGGCGAAAGCCUGAUCCAGCAAUGCCGCGUGAGUGAUGAAGGCCUUAGGGUUGUAAAGCUCUUUUACCCGGGAUGAUAGUGACAGUACCGGGAGAAUAAGCUCCGGCUAACUCCGU
rnacentral:rRNA from 1 species